rnacentral:rRNA from 1 species
UACGGGGGGAGCAAGCGUUGUUCGGAUUUACUGGGCGUAAAGGCGCGUAGGCGGCCAGCACAAGUCAGUUGUGAAAUCUCCGAGCUUAACUCGGAAAGGUCAACUGAUACUGUGCGGCUAGAGUGCGGAAGGGGCAACUGGAAUUCUUGGUGUAGCGGUGAAAUGCGUAGAUAUCAAGAGGAACACCUGCGGCGAAGGCGGGUUGCUGGGCCGACACUGACGCUGAGGCGCGAAAGCCGGGGGAGCGAACGGG